rnacentral:tRNA from 1 species
AGGAUUAUAGUUUAAAAAAAACAUUUGAUUUGCAUUCAAAAAAUAUUAUAUUAUAUUAAUUUA